ACCAAUCAAAGCACUCUGACAGGCAAGUCUCACUUCUUUCGAGACCUGCGUUUGAACAUUUUCACGCAAGUCUCAAAAGAAGUGAGAUUUGUCUGUCAAAACACUCUGAUUGGUUGACUUACUAUUUUUUUUUAUUGUUUCUGUAA